rnacentral:piRNA from 1 species
GAUGGCUGCCUGUGAUC